rnacentral:rRNA from 1 species
GAUGAGCGCUGGCGGUAUGCUUAACACAUGCAAGUCGAACGGACUCUUCGGAGUUAGUGGCGGACGGGUGAGUAACGCGUGAGAAUCUGGCUUUGGGUUCGGGACAACCACUGGAAACGGUGGCUAAUACCGGAUGUGCCGAGAGGUAAAAGAGAAAUUGCCUGAAGAUGAGCUCGCGUCUGAUUAGCUAGUUGGUGAGGUAAAGGCUCACCAAGGCAGCGAUCAGUAGCUGGUCUGAGAGGAUGACCAGCCACACUGGGACUGAGACACGGCCCAGACUCCUACGGGAGGCAGCAGGGGGGAAUUGUCCGCAAUGGGCGAAAGCCUGACGGAGCAAUACCGCGUGAGGGAAGAAGGCUCUUGGGUUGUAAACCUCUUUUCUUAGGGAAGAACAAAAUGACGGUACCUAAGGAAUCAGCAUCGGCUAACUCCGUG